rnacentral:rRNA from 1 species
CGACAUGACGCAUGUCGUGUCGGGAAAGAUUCAUCGGUAUGGGAUGGGGUCGCGUCCUAUCAGCUUGAUGGCGGGGUAACGGCCCACCAUGGCUUCGACGGGUAGCCGGCCUGAGAGGGCGACCGGCCACAUUGGGACUGAGAUACGGCCCAGACUCCUACGGGAGGCAGCAGUGGGGAAUAUUGCACAAUGGGCGCAAGCCUGAUGCAGCGACGCCGCGUGCGGGAUGACGGCCUUCGGGUUGUAAACCGCUUUUGACUGGGAGCAAGCCCUUCGGGGUGAGUGUACCUUUCGAAUAAGCACCGGCUAACUACGUGCCAGCAGCCGCGGUAAUACGUAGGGUGCAAGCGUUAUCCGGAAUUAUUGGGCGUAAAGGGCUCGUAGGCGGUUCGUCGCGUCCGGUGUGAAAGUCCAUCGCUUAACGGUGGAUCCGCGCCGGGUACGGGCGGG